rfam:Triticum aestivum genome assembly, contig: Triticum_aestivum_CS42_TGACv1_scaffold_131029_2BL
UAACUACUCCCUCCGUUCCAAAUUACUUGUCGCAUAUGUGGAUGUAUCUAGAUGUAUUUUAGUUCUAGAUACAUCCAUUUCGGCGACGAGUAAUUUGGAAUGGAGGGAGUAGAUG